CAUGUACUCCCUCCGUUCCAAAUUACUUGUCUUGGAUUUGUCUAGAUACGGAUGUAUCUAGCAUUAAAAUGAGUCUAGAUACAUCUGUAUCUACUAUCUAGACAAAUCCAAGACAAGUAAUUCGGAACGGAGGGAGUAUUUG
rfam:Triticum aestivum genome assembly, contig: Triticum_aestivum_CS42_TGACv1_scaffold_404992_5BL